UUCUAAUCAAGGCUGAUCAAGACCCUUCGCGAAAUUAUUGGGCUAGUGCACAUAUUGUUAGCAGAAAUAGCAAUACUACAAAUGGAUUAGGCAUCAUCAAUUACUAUCCAAAUCAUCCCAAAAGAAAUCCCCCCACGAGUCCCCUGGUUGGACCUCGAUGGAACGAUACAGCUCCCAGAAUUGCUCAAAGUCAAGCAAUCAAAGCUCUCAAAGGCUACAUCCAUACCCCUCCACAGACAACAGAUAGAGUAAUUGUUAUGCUCAAUACACAAAACAAGAUAGAUGAUCAUGUCCGUUGGUCUGUCAACAAUGUCUCAUUUGGCCUUCCUGAUACACCUUACCUCAUAGCCCUUAAACAAAAUUUUCUACAUGCUUUCGAGCAAACCCCUCCUCCAGAAGGAUACGAUGCUGCCAACUACGACAUCUAUAGUGUUGCCAAGAAUGUAAAUGCUACGACAAGCAACUCGAUUUAUCGGCUCAAGUUCAACUCGACAGUUGAUGUAAUCUUGCAGAAUGCAAACACAAUGAAUGUGAAUAACAGUGAAACACAUCCUUGGCAUCUUCACGGGCAUGAUUUUUGGGUCCUGGGCUAUGGUAUAGGCAAGUUUAACAUCUCAACUGAUCCCAAGAAGUACAACCUUGUCAAUCCGAUAAUGAAGAAUACAGUGCCUGUUCAUCCUUAUGGCUGGACUGCAUUGAGAUUCAGAGCUGAUAAUCCAGGUGUUUGGCUAUUCCAUUGCCAUAUUGAAGCUCAUUUCUUCCAGGGCAUGGGAGUGGUAUUUGAAGAAGGGGUGGAGAAGGUAGGAAGAUUGCCCACAUCUAUAAUGGGAUGCGGUGAAACAAAACGCUUUUUCAAGCCGUAGAGAAAUAAAAGAAAUACAAGCUGAAGAUAUAUAGCACAAAAGAUUCAAGCCGCUUUGUCUUGUAUGUAGCACAAAAGAUUCUUGAAAUCCCUUUUUUUUUUAUAAAUGUUUUCCCGGUAUCUAUAAGUGUGUUUGGAUUAUAAAUUCUUUGAGAUAAUUUUGUUAAAAAGUAUUGUAGCACUUUUUUGAUAUGAUAUAUGUGAGAUAAAAAGGUAAUUGCAAAAUGUGUUGAUAAUGCAAGCAAAUCAGUAUGUGUAAAUAAAAUGUAAAUAAAGUAGAAUAAUUUGAUCAGCAUUUGCCUUGAAGGACAGUUUCCCAAUGCUUUUUAACUUCAAAAACUGUUUGAUUCUUUAGCCAAAAUUCUCUCUUUCUUUGCGCAAAUAAAACUUUGAUUAAGCUAAUAAAGCGGUUAAUCAAAUCAAGUUAGUCAAAUACUGUAUUUUAUUCCCUCCUCCCCUCUAAUUUAGGGAGGUUUUUCCUUGUUAAGUUCUGGAUAAUUUUCUCCUAGGCACCAUUUUCACAACGGAUCUUUCAUCCCAUUGUGCUACUCUCUAUCCCAUUUUCAUUAUAUUAUUAUUUUCUGUCAUAAACAUUAUAUUUUAACUCUUUUUUGUUUCUUAAUUAAGAUCCAAUAACUAUUAAAAAAUAGUAAAAAAUAAAAGAAAGUGUGAAAAAGAAUAAAAAGGGAGUGAAUAAACGAAAAAUAGUAAGGGCAAUUUUGUCUUAAAAUAUUAAAUAUGGAGGCAAAAUGCUUAUUUAAUGAGUUCAGAAGGGGUAAAAUGUAACCAAGGUAAGGUUCAAGGGGUUUGGUGCAUUUAACCCUUAGGCAUCAGUCAAUGGAGCUUCCCUGCAUGACAGGCAACCGCCUGCAUGGAGCUUUCCUGGUCGUGACCUGUGAUGCUAACACAUGAAUAAAGCCUUCCUUUAGGCAUAAGUCAAUGGAGAAUCUUCUACCCUCAUCGAGUCUACUUGUUUGUUCUUAGAUAUUUUUUUUUACGCGGUUUCACAACGCGGAAACUGGAACCCAUUUUUGAGCUUUCAAAUCAUUUGUCUAUAAUUAAACAUAUCAUGAUAUCCCCACUUUUAUUUAAUUAAUUUCUUUCAAAUUUCGGCUAAUAUAACAUAGCUUUAGCUAGAUCACCCUCUUUCUUCUUUUAACGCGGUUUAGUGUUUUUUGGCCCCCGCAAAAAGUAGAAUCUGAGAUCUGGUUGUAGUUUAUUUCUUUGCUAAGGAAGUAGAAAAAUGGCCAAUCAGCUUGUCUAGCGUACCGACAAUUGGUCAAAUCUAAGUAAAAGAAAAAGGUUCAAGUUACAAUUCUCGUUGAAAUAUCAUAUUCUUGUUUUCCUUAACACGGUAUAGGGGCAUCUUUUACCACCUAAAAUGACAAGCCUUGGCGCAUGGCCAAUAGCCGUUUGGUUUGUUGGUGAAAGUUCAAAGGUUCAAAUCUUACUUCUCAUCAGUAAUUUUUUAUGACUUGUCACUUUCAAUGGUUUCGUUGGAUGAUAUUUUCGUAUUGGUUAAGUCCCUCCUCCUUCUAGAAUAAGAUAAAGUAGGUUAUAGAAAUAUUGACAAAAAAAAAAAGAAGAGAAAACUUUAGUUGUGUUUGGAUUGCAUUUUCCGUCAUUUUUCAUGGAAAAAUUACUGUAGCGAUUUAAUAUAUGUGAGGGAAAAAGGUGAUAGAGAAAUGUGAUCACGGAAAACGACAAUAUUUUCCGACGGAAACAAGCAAUCCAAGCAUGACCUUUGUUUUGACUGGUACAACUUGAAUCAAGGACUGUAUAAAUAUAAAACAAUAAAUAUAGACAUUGAUACAAUGAUAAUAAAAAUACAAUGAACUUUUACUCUCAUUGAAAUUUGUGUUAAAAAGCUUUGUCGUAUUUUUAUAUAUUAUUCUGCGAAUGUCUACGUUUAUUGUUCUAAUAUCUAAUAUUUGUUAUGCCAUUGCCUAUGCUGUAUGGUACAAUUACCAUUGGCAAUUAUAGAGAUAACUUAUCUCUGAAACUUCUUGUCGGAGUUAAAAAAGAAGUUUGCAGUCAGAAAGUAAUUAUCAGUAAAAACCGAAAAGUAACGCACCACAUAGGAUUCUCCGAAAAUGUAAAAUCCAAGAAAUACAUAAUUAGGGUUGGUUGGAGAUGUACAUUACCAAGUCAUACCCUUACGAAGUCAAACAGGGGACGUAUUCCUCUUGGCAGUGCUAUUCCACUUACAGACGAGACCAAGUUGGCAUGUACAGAUUGGCAUUGCAACGACCAGAUCCGUUUCCCCUGCGGGUGCCGGCGGGGAAAAAAAUUUAUAAUUAAUAAGAAAUAUAUAAUUAAUAAAAAUAUAAUCAAUAAUUUAGUAUAAAUAUAUUAAUACAGGUAAUCAAUAAUUUACAUUAAUAUAAAUAUAUAAUUAUUAGUAUAAUUAAUAAUAUUAAAUAUGUUUUAUAUGUAUAUAGGGGACGGAGAAGGGGAUGGGACAGGAUCUCCUACCCCUUUUUUUUAGCGGAAGGUAAAAAUUACGGUUUCAAAUUUUCUGUCUCCAAAUUAGUCUCUAUCCCUUCUGUCCCUUCUUUAUAUAGCUGUCAUGUGUCUUUAAUUUUUUGAUAACCCAAACUCAUACAAACCGAUAAUAAUCGGUUAACAAGUUUACUCAAAACCAAAACUUGCAGUCUUUUUCUUCAUGCAAACUAGAGUUGAAGAAAUUUUGAUUAGGGAACCACCGCUUGAUUUAUCCAAAGAAAAAAAUAGUUUUAAGUUAUUGGAACCGCUUGAUUUAUCCAAAGGCAAAAAAGUUUUGAAUUAUCUGUUUUACUUGGUUUUGAGUAAACUUGUUAAUCGAUUAUUAUUGGUUUGUUUGAGUUUGUGUUAUCAAAAAAUUAGAGACACAUGACAACUAUAUAAAGAAAGGACAGAAAGGAUAGAAACUAAUUUGGGGACAGAAAAUUCGAAGCCAAAAAUUACCCGCAUGAACCCCGGGUGAGCACCCUUUUUAAUUGCCAUCCCUCUGUCAGGGGAAAUUGGAGGGCAAUUUCGUUCUUUUGAACGGUCUUGGUCGUCGUCUGCAACUUGGUCUUGGUCUUAGCUCUCAAGCUAUCAACUGCCUCCCUAUAUAUGUAAUUGUUUCUUGAUCAGCUCAAGAAAUUAGCAAGACAAGCUACCGUCCCGAGCUACAUUGCUUUAAUCAAGACAUCAAAACUUGUGGACUGCUUGAACUUUUUCAAGAGAUCAUUGAGACAUGGCGGCUGAGCUUCUCCAAUGCAGAAGUUUAGCUAAAAACUUGGUGGGCUUGUGUUUGUUUUUGUGUUUGGCAUCUGCCGCGUUUCCUUCUGUUGAAGCUAAAGUUAGAUACCAUAAGUGGGAGGUGAAAUAUGAGUACAAGUCUCCUGAUUGCUACAAGAAGUUGGUGAUGACCAUCAAUGGAAGAAGUCCAGGACCAACCAUCAAUGCUCAGCAAGGUGAUACUAUUAUAGUUGAGCUCAAGAACAGCUUGCUACUUGAGAAUGUUGCCAUCCAUUGGCAUGGAAUCAGACAGGUAAUCAAGGAGAAAAUCUGACAUCUUCCUAUAUUUCUCUGUUCUCAAUAUUAUGGUUUCUUGAUGGUACAAGAUUUUAAUAUCUAUUCCUAUUUAUUGAGUGCAGCAUGGAACACCUUGGUCUGACGGGACAGAAGGGGUGACACAGUGUCCAAUUCUCCCAGGAGAUACCUUUACAUACAAGUUCAUAGUAGACAGAGUAAGUCCAAUGGCUGAUAUAGUCCCUUGCUUUAAUGCUACAUGCUUCAUUUACCAUAGAUUUGAUCUGAUUGGUAAAAUAUGUCACUUUUCUUGCAGCCUGGAACAUAUUUGUAUCAUGCACAUUAUGGUAUGCAAAGAGAAGCAGGGCUAUAUGGAAUGAUUAAGGUUUCACUUCCUGCUGGAGAGUCUGAGCCUUUUUCUUAUGACUAUGACCGCAGCAUCAUCCUUAAUGAUUGGUACCACAAGAGUGCUUAUGAACAAAUGACUGGGCUCAAUUCAAUACCCUUUGGUUGGGUUGGGGAACCUCAGGUAAUUAAUGCUUUAAUUUAGUAUUACAGUUGAUCAGUUUUAUGCAUCAAAAAGCUUGAGGCUAAUGGUUUUUCUUCAACAUUUUCAGUCAAUUUUGAUACAAGGCAGAGGAAAAUUCAACUGCAGCACACCGGGGAUCGAAGCCGGUCUUUGCAAUGCGACAAAUCCAGAGUGUUCCCCUUUCUCAUUGACAGUUGUUCCUGGCAAAACAUACCGGCUGAGGAUUGGAAGCUUGACCGGUCUUUCAGCCUUGAGUUUUGAAAUAGAGGUACAAAUUACUACAGUUUCUUACAAAUUUUCCUGUUAUCAAGAAUUGUUGAAGUAUCCCUUCACAUGCUUUACCAGCUGGACCCAAAAUUUUUAAUUUCUAAAAGCUUAUCCGCAGAAUAAACAAUCAAGGCCGACUGCCAAACACUUAUUAUCAUUAAAUAUUGAAUGUAGGGUCACAAUAUGACUGUUGUUGAAGCUGAUGGCAACAAUGUCGAGCCGUUUGUGGUCCAAAAUCUUUUCAUCUACUCUGGAGAGACAUACUCCGUUCUAAUCAAGGCUGAUCAAGACCCUUCGCGAAAUUAUUGGGCUAGUGCACAUAUUGUUAGCAGAAAUAGCAAUACUACCAAUGGAUUGGGCAUCAUCAAUUACUAUCCAAAUCAUCCCAGAAGAAAUCCCCCCACAAGUCCCCCGGUUGGACCUCGAUGGAACGAUACAGCUCCCAGAAUUGCUCAAAGUCAAGCAAUCAAAGCUCUCAAAGGCUACAUCCAUACCCCUCC
rnacentral:lncRNA from 1 species